GACGACCGCUGGCGGCGUGCUUAACACAUGCAAGUCGAACGAUGAAGAAGAGAAACGCGAACUUCGGUUCAAAUUUCACUUCGGAUUAGUGGCAGACGGGUGAGUAACGCGUGAGCAACCUACCUCUUACAAAGGGAUAGCCUCGGGAAACCGUGAUUAAUACCAUAUGACACAUUCAUAAGGCAUCUUAAGAAUGUUAAAGCUACGGCGGUAAGAGAUGGGCUCGCGUCCCAUUAGCUAGUUGGUGAGGUAACGGCCCACCAAGGCGACGAUGGGUAACCGGCCUGAGAGGGUGAACGGUCACAUUGGAACUGAGACACGGUCCAAACUCCUACGGGAGGCAGCAGUGGGGAAUAUUGCACAAUGGAGGGAACUCUGAUGCAGCGACGCCGCGUGAGCGAUGAAGGAAUUCGUUUCGUAAAGCUCUGUUCUAUGGGAAGAAAAGGACUGUACCAUAGGAGAAAGCCCCGGCUAAAUACGUG
rnacentral:rRNA from 1 species